AGUGGCGGACGGGUGAGUAACACGUAGGUAACCUGCCCCGGAGCGAGGGAUAACAUUUGGAAACGGAUGCUAAUACCGCAUAACAACAAAAGCCACAUGGCUUUUGUCUGAAAGAUGGCUUUGGCUAUCACUCUGGGAUGGACCUGCGGUGCAUUAGCUAGUUGGUAAGGUAACGGCUUACCAAGGCGAUGAUGCAUAGCCGAGUUGAGAGACUGAUCGGCCACAAUGGAACUGAGACACGGUCCAUACUCCUACGGGAGGCAGCAGUAGGGAAUCUUCCACAAUGGGCGCAAGCCUGAUGGAGCAACACCGCGUGAGUGAAGAAGGGUUUCGGCUCGUAAAGCUCUGUUGUUGGAGAAGAACGUGCGUGAGAGUAACUGUUCACGCAGUGACGGUAUCCAACCAGAAAGUCACGGCUAACUACGUGCCAGCAGCCGCGGUAAUACGUAGGUGGCAAGCGUUAUCCGGAUUUAUUGGGCGUAAAGCGAGCGCAGGCGGUUACUUAGGUCUGAUGUGAAAGCCUUCGGCUUAACCGAAGAAGUGCAUCGGAAACCGGGCGACUUGAGUGCAGAAGAGGACAGUGGAACUCCAUGUGUAGCGGUGGAAUGCGUAGAUAUAUGGAAGAACACCAGUGGCGAAGGCGGCUGUCUGGUCUGCAACUGACGCUGAGGCUCGAAAGCAUGGGUAGCGAACAGGAUUAGAUACCCUGGUAGUCCAUGCCGUAAACGAUGAGUGCUAGGUGU
rnacentral:rRNA from 1 species